rnacentral:siRNA from 1 species
UCUCAAAUGUUGCAAUGUUGUGA